rnacentral:rRNA from 1 species
AUAAGAGGUCUCGCCUGCCCCGUGACUACAUGUUUAACGGCCGCGGUAUCCUAACCGUGCAAAGGUAGCGCAAUCACUUGUCUUUUAAAUGAAGACCCGUAUGAAUGGCACCACGAGGGCUUAACUGUCUCCUUUUUCCUGUCAAUGAAAUUGAUCCCCCCGUGCAGAAGCGGGGAUAAGCACAUAAGACGAGAAGACCCUGUGGAACUUCAGGCUUUUAGCAGACUAUAAAAACAACCAAUAACAACUGGAUUCUAAACAAUUAGGCCCUGCUCACAUAUGCCUUUGGUUGGGGCGACCAUGGGAAAACAAAAACCCCCCACGUGGACCGAGGACACACAUUUUAACCCCCCCUCCCCACAACCCAGGGCCACAGCCCUAAGUAACAGAACAUCUGACCUGCUUUGAUCCGGCAUCUAAGCCGAUCAACGGACCCAGCUACCCCAGGGAUAACAGCGCAAUCCCCUCCCAGAGUCCAUAUCGACGAGGGGGUUUACGACCUCGAUGUUGGAUCAGGACAUCCUAUUGGUGCAGCCGCUAUUAAGGGUUCGUUUGUUCAACGAUU